UUCAGCUGUCCAACCAGGGUAACACUGUGUCCUGGCUGGUAACAUCAUAACAACAGCAGGUUGUCGUGUCAAACAGACAGCACACGGAACGUUGUGAUUAUGAAUUGAAUCAGCGUUAGCAAAAGAAAAGAGUUUUUUCCUCGAGCCAUGAGUU